UAGACUUCUAAAAAGUUUAAAUUUAUUAAGACUAUAUUCUAACUCCACUUCUUAAACACCAGAACUUUUAUUGCAGAUUGUAAGAAUGAAUUUAGUCUCAUGAUCUCUACAAUGAUACCUCCCCAAAUCUUCAGAAAAGGCAGCAGCUUGACAAUUAACCACCACUGUGAAAUGCUUAUCACAGAAACUAUUGGAUCUUGAAGGGGAACUUAGCUUGCUUUUCUUUCUAAAUUAAAAUCAGGAACCAUACAGUAUUACUGCCUUGACAUUAGAGUUAAAGAGUCUUAUUUUAGUCUUGUUAGAGAUGUGAGGAGAUUUGCAGGUUCAACUGAGGUUCAGCGCCCCUUAAUGCGACCAUCUAUAGGCCGGGCUUUCACCAUCAGAAAUAAGCUCACCGUUCUCUUCUAAUGCAUGGACUUAGCCAAAUGGCAGCAGAUUUCAAAAUGCCUCGACUUCCUUUACUCCGAACGUGGUGAGUAGGUUCCUACAAGUUAAACCGAGGAACUCUAUUGUUUUUUAGAGGGAGGCCUACGCAAGGACUGAAUUGACCCUAUAGUGGGUGAUAAGCAAGGCUACUGGCUAGCGUCAGCUGUUUUGAUAACCCAUUCAUCUCAACAAGGAUCUGUAGGACGGCGAGCAGGCUUCGAACCCGGAACUACCAAGACGACAGUCCAGAGAGCAGACACCCGAAUAUAGGUUACGCUAAAUAAUAUCAUCUACACUACCCUGAAACGAAAGGUCUUGGGCGGCAGUCCAAACUGACUACCUCCUAAGCCGACCCUGUAUCUGUAUUUUACAAGAAGUUUCUACUACUAUGCUUAGGCUAUGUAAUGAACUUACACUAGCAUUAAAUAAAGAUCUAAUGGAAAAAAAAUGUCUCGAAAUAAAUACAAAAUGUGCUGCAAAGAACUUCACUGCUCUUUGUCGUGGUAAUUGUAUAAAGUCACGUGUAUGUCUGUGAAAAGUGAAUGGACUAGCUCAAUUAAGGUAAUGUAGACGUUCUCACAGGUCGGUGGCUAGCACGAAUGUAAAAUUAAGUAGUAAAAAGUAAGAAAUGAAUAUUGUUUUGGUUGUUCUUUUAGGCUUUAUUUGAAAGAGAACAAAAAUAAAUCUGGAUACAUGCACAAUUAAAGAUUUACCUGACUAAUUAGCUAAUACAUAAAUCCACUUAAAAAAAAUAUACCUAGGUGAAUGCUAACUUAAUUACAGUGUUUGAUAUUAGAAUCAACAUUUUUUUUUACAAUUAAAAAAAACAACACAUGAAGCGAUGCAUUUGAAAUAAGUUGUACCACAAAAAUGUUGACUUAACCACAAAACAGUUUGAGGUGAUGCAAGUGUGUUCCAUUACAUAAGCACAAUCAAAUGACACACUUUAGAGCAUUUAAAACACUUCUGAUCAAUAAUUACAUUAAAAACCAAACAAUUCACAAGCUAAAUAUUCAAUGAAAAACCCCUACUGACAUCUUUGAAUUCUAACAUUGGACAAAGCCCAGUCUAAUUUGGUGUAUGUGAAACACAUGGAAUAGAACCACAAGAAAACUAAGCAACAUUUAUGAAUUUAUACCAAACAUUGUUUUGUUUGUUCUAGACAAAAUCAAUUUUUUUUUGUUCCAGUUACUUUAGAUUCCAGUUACUUGGACUAAAUUGGCACAUAAUGCUUUUGAUCCGAAUAACUGGCUUGUCAGGUUAUAUGAACAUUUUCUGUAUUACAAGUUUACAAGAAUGUUCCCUCCUAAAUAUGCAGUUGGUCCAAUUAGUUAGUGCACUGAAAUUAUCCAUUCUCUUAUAUUUCGUUUUGCAAAAACAUAUUAAUUAUUAAUUAGCUUUAGAAUGAAUCUUCACUGAUUUAAUCAAAAUCUUUUUGUUUUAAAUUGAAAAUUAUCUUUUAAUGUACAAAAAAAAAAUAAAUAAAUAAUUAUCACAUGUCAAACAUUUAAAAAAAAAUACAUAUAUAUGUAGAACUCAAAAGAAUAAUUCAGAUGAAGUUUGAUUCUUUUAAAUCUCCUUUAACUUAAAGAGACCAACAUAUCAGACCUUAAGAGAAAUAAAUAUAUCAAUAACAACCUGUUUCUGGAAUAGAAGUUAGAUUUACAGAAACUUAAUAAUAAUGCAUAACAAAAAAGGGCAUUAAAUGGAAUUCAGGAAAUGAAGAUUUACAUUAAUUUAUACUCAAUACUUGUAUACUCAUUUGUAUUUUAAAUUGUGUAUUGAUCCACAUUGAUCCGUACAUGCAUCCCUUACUGCACAUAAAACAUUGCUUAUUAUUAAUUAUAAAACAAUGAUAAAUUAUAGAGGCUGGAAUAGGUCUACAUGACACAAACUUUAAUAAAAAUAAAUUGAUUUAAAAAAAAAAGUAGAUGUGACCUUUGCCUUGUAACGAAACUGAAUUUCUACACAAAUUUCCUUGUCAAAUUUAAGGAGACAUUUUUAGACAAAAUCUUGUAUUUGUAUGAAAAUAAAUUCCUAUUAGGUUUAAAUAAAUAGAUAUGAAACAUACACAUUUCCUGAUAAUGUAUAUGCAAUAUCUUAUUAACCAAAAGAAGUUCAAGCAAGUAGUGAGUUAUAAUGAACUAAACUAUGUUUUGCACAUUAUCAAAAGCAAUUGAUACAUAUGUUUGAUACUGACCCAAUUCAGCUAAAACAUAGUUCUGAAAUCCAAAGAUUGUUUCAAUAUAAUUUAGUAACCAAUCUUAAAGGUACAUAAAAUUUCACAUAAAACUACAAUGUGACUGAUGCAUUAUUUACAUAUACUUUUCUGAUAAGUAAUGCAUGAUUAAAAAUAAUGUCAAUCAUUUUUUUUUUGCUUCCAUGAACCAGAAGGAUGAACAACUUAACUGCUGACUUGAUGUAAUAAAAAAGAAAGAAAUAGAAGUUGUACAAAAUGUAGAGACAUGUUUAUGUCAAUGUAAAUUAGGGAAAUAAAAUUAGAAAGACACUAAUCAUGUAUAUGUAUGUAUAUGUAAAGUAUGAUUUGUUCAAUAAAACAUGCACCACAAUUUUUAUGUCCAUUUAGUCCAUAACAUUUUUUAAGCAAGAAUUGAAUGAAUGCUGAAUUCAAUAUUUCUUUAAUGAAACUAAGAGAAAAAAAAAGACUGCUUUUGGCAUGGCAUUCUGGGAUACUAAUAAAAUGUAUAAAUAUGUAUGUACCAAACCACACAAACACACCACAAAGACCAUACCCAACACAAACUUUCUGACCUUCACCAAGCCAGCUUUUUGCAAUCUGUGCAAAGGAAACAAA